AGUGAACGCUGGCGGUAGGCCUAACACAUGCCAGUCGAACGGCAGCACAGUAAGAGCUUGCGCUUACGGGUGGCGAGUGGCGGACGGGAGAGGAAGACAUCGGAAUCUACUUUUUCGUGGGGGAUAACGUAGGGAAGCUUACGCUAAUACCGCAUACGACCUACGGGUGAAAGCAGGGGAUCUUUGGACCUUGCGCGAGUGAAUGAGCCGAUGUCGGAUUAGCUAGUUGGCGGGGUAAAGGCCCACCAAGGCGACGAUCCGUAGCUGGUCUGAGAGGAUGAUCCGCCACACUGGAACUGAGACACGGUCCAGACUCCUACGGGAGGCAGCAGUGGGGAAUAUUGGACAAUGGGCGCAAGCCUGAUCCAGCCAUACCGCGUGAGUGAAGAAGGCCUUCGGGUUGUAAAGCCCUUUUGUUGGGAAAGAAAAGCAGCAGGUUAAUACCCCGCUGUUCUGACGGUACCCAAUGAAUAAGCACCGGCUAACUUCGUG
rnacentral:rRNA from 1 species